GACGAACCGUGCGAACGUUGCUCGGAUUUACUGGGCGUAAAGGGCGCGUAGGCGGUCAGCACGAGUCACUUGUGAAAUCUCCGGGCUUAACUCGGAAAGGUCAAGUGAUACUGUUGUGCUAGAGUGCGGAAGGGGCAACUGGAAUUCUCGGUGUAGCGGUGAAAUGCGUAGAUAUCGAGAGGAACACCUGCGGCGAAGGCGGGUUGCUGGGCCGACACUGACGCUGAUGCGCGAAGCCAGGGGAGCG
rnacentral:rRNA from 1 species